UUCAAAUCCAGUGUGAUGAUUGGUGAGUAGAAUAGUAGGCGAAUCAUACAAUUCCGGUAGGUUUUGCUUUUCUUCCUAUUAGUUCACAGUCAGUUAUAAUAUAGCUGGCAGUUAGUUAACUCAACUUUUCUCUAUUUAUAUAGUUCAUUGUAAUGCAUACAGUGACUUGAAAUGAAUGUGAAAUCAGUUUCUCAUUUUCAUGUUUUCCCACCUCAAUAUGAUAUCAGAGCAACUUCUCCGUUGCCACUAAAACUUUGAGAUCAAAUUGAUUCCGGUAAUUGAGAUAGUUUAGAUUGAGAGUUUCAAUCAUCCAUGGCUGCAGAGCAAUCGA
rnacentral:lncRNA from 1 species